rnacentral:rRNA from 1 species
CAGCUGAUCGCACGGUCUUGUACCGGCGACGCAUCUUUCAAGUGUCUGCCUUAUCAACUGUUGAUGGUAGUUUAUGCGACUACCAUGGUUGUAACGGGUAACGGAGAAUAAGGGUUCGACUCCGGAGAGGGAGCCUGAGAAACGGCUACCACAUCCAAGGAAGGCAGCAGGCGCGUAAAUUACCCACUCUCGGCACGAGGAGGUAGUGACGAAAAAUAACGAGACGGUUCUCAUUGAGGCCCGUUAUCGGAAUGAGUACAAUCCAAACCCUUUAACAAGGAUCUAUCAGAGGGCAAGUCUGGUGCCAGCAGCCGCGGUAAUUCCAGCUCUGAAGGUGUAUACCACCGUUGUUGCGUUUAAAACGCUCGUAGUUGGAUCUACGUUCGUGGGCCUGGU